GUCUGCGGUGGGAUCAUGGCCGGACACUGCUCCCAAGCUUUCGGGUAGUUGGGGAGAAAACGAAGAAGCGAUAUAUGGACAUACUUUGUUUACAUACAAGUGAAACAAAACGGAAUGUGUCGUGGAAAAAGACGGGGAGAAAUGCGGCCACAAAAUAACGGGGAAAAACACGACAAACUUAAAAAGGCAUCUCAAGAGCUUCCAUGGUGAAAUCGAGGAUUACCACAGACCUGACUGUGAACACCGUUGACACCCACCUCAGGGAGACGCUGCCUAAGAUCUCAAGGCUGCUUGGUCGUGGUCUUUUUGGCACGUACUCUUCCAAGAUGAGCCGGGAAGUUUAACACUGAUGGAAUGACACCAGGUCUAAGCCGACAAACUUCCAAUUCCUCCUCAACUCAUAGUCUCUGGGAAACCUACAUGGAGUAAGAAAAGUAGACAGAGAAGCAGACGUGGGAGUAGGAAGACAUCC